rnacentral:tRNA from 1 species
GGGCAGUUAGCUCAGCGGUAGAGCACUACCUUGACAUGGUAGGGGUCACAGGUUCGAACCCUGUACUGCCCACCA